rnacentral:tRNA from 1 species
GGCGAGAUGGCCGAGCGGUCUAAGGCUCUGGUUUCAGGCACCAGCCUCUUCGGAGGCGUGGGUUGAAUCACACUCCCGUCA